rnacentral:rRNA from 1 species
GAGGAAAGCUUGGGGCGUGCCUAAUACAUGCAAGUCGAGCGAACAGACGAGGAGCUUGCUCCUCUGACGUUAGCGGCGGACGGGUGAGUAACACGUGGAUAACCUACCUAUAAGACUGGGAUAACUUCGGGAAACCGGAGCUAAUACCGGAUAAUAUAUUGAACCGCAUGGUUCAAUAGUGAAAGACGGUUUUGCUGUCACUUAUAGAUGGAUCCGCGCCGCAUUAGCUAGUUGGUAAGGUAACGGCUUACCAAGGCAACGAUGCGUAGCCGACCUGAGAGGGUGAUCGGCCACACUGGAACUGAGACACGGUCCAGACUCCUACGGGAGGCAGCAGUAGGGAAUCUUCCGCAAUGGGCGAAAGCCUGACGGAGCAACGCCGCGUGAGUGAUGAAGGUCUUCGGAUCGUAAAACUCUGUUAUUAGGGAAGAACAAAUGUGUAAGUAACUAUGCACGUCUUGACGGUACCUAAUCAGAAAGCCACGGCUAACUACGUG